UAGAUAUAUUCUCCCCAAUUGGACUCUCCUCUUCCAAGAUGGGUAAAUUUUGCACAUGGGUUGCUUCUCUUCCUCUAUCAGACAUUUGACGCUGUUGAUGGAAAACAAGCAAGACGAACAAAUUCAUCCAGUCCGUUAGGGGAGCUUUUUGAUCAUGGUUAUUAUAUAUAUGUGUGUGUACAUUUUUCUCUGCUUUCGAUUUGUUUUGAUUUCAAUUCUACCUUGUUAGAGCAUCCUUAUCAGUUAGUUGGAGUUUAUUCUCCAGUUUUUUGUGGGCCCCA